CGCAAGCCUGACGGAGCAAGACCGCGUGCGGGAUGACGGCCUAAUGGUUGUAAACCGCUUUUCUCUGGGAAGAUGAUGACGGUACCAGAGGAAUCAGCCUCGGCUAACUCCGUGCCAGCAGCCGCGGUAAUACGGAGGAGGCAAGCGUUAUCCGGAAUUAUUGGGCGUAAAGCGUCCGCAGGGGGCGCAUCAAGUCUGCUGUUAAAGGUCGGAGCUUAACUCCGGUGAGGCAGUGGAAACUGGUGCGCUAGAGGGCGACAGGGGUAGAGGGAAUUCCCAGUGUAGCGGUGAAAUGCGUAGAGAUUGGGAAGAACACCGGUGGCGAAAGCGCUCUACUGGGUCACACCUGACCCUCAGGGACGAAAGCUAAGGUAGCG
rnacentral:rRNA from 1 species